rnacentral:rRNA from 1 species
CGGCACGCUUAACACAUGCAAGUCGAACGGAGUACAUUGGAGCUUGCUUGAUGUACUAGUGGCGGAUGGGUGAGUAACACGUGAGCAACCUGCCUUUGAGAACGGAAUAGCUUCUGGAAACGGAUGGUAAUACCGUAUAACAUUACUGAAUCGCAUGGUUUAGUAAUCAAAGAUUUAUCGCUCAAAGAUGGGCUCGCGUCUGAUUAGAUAGUUGGUGGGGUAACGGCCUACCAAGUCGACGAUCAGUAGCCGGACUGAGAGGUUGAACGGCCACAUUGGGACUGAGACACGGCCCAGACUCCUACGGGAGGCAGCAGUGGGGAAUAUUGCACAAUGGGCGGAAGCCUGAUGCAAGCGAUGCCGCGUGGAGGAAGAAGGUUUUCGGAUUGUAAACUCCUGAUCUGAGGGACGAUAGUGACGGUACCUCAGGAGAAAGCUCCGGCUAACUACGUGCCAGCAGCCGC